UUUUUUUUUUUUUUUGUAUUUAUUACACAAAUCUCUGCUGCCACAUGUUAGAAAAAGUCAUCAUAAUGUUCUCUAGUGAACUGAUCAUUUAUAAAAUGAGUCCCAACUCAAAUUUUUUCCAUAUAAAACACCAGUACUUAUUUUCCCUACCCUAUCUUAUUCAGUUGCCUCUCAGCUGACAUCCUUAUUGGUUUGAACUUUGAGAUUGUGGUAAUACCCCCAAAUAUCAAUCAAGUGCAAACCAAAUGAAUUGAAAGAAUUUAACUGCACACUUUGCUACAAGUGCAAGAUUUCAUGAAGUUGAUGAAAGCGAUGUUAAAGAAUUCUUCCAAUUACACACAAGGCUGUUGGCAAGUGAGACUGCAGUCAUACUAGUUAGCAAGAGGAGCAAAGAAAAUGAAAAGGAAUUGUUUCAAAAAAGAAUUUGAGUAUCAAGCAAUUAACAGAAGUCAUUAGGAAAACUGAUGAGGCUUUUGAUGAUUUUGGUAAAAAUGAUUCCUGCCUAUUAAGAGAGUAAAAAAUAAGAGGCCACAGACUGGAUAAAAUACUUGCAAGUUACAUUUAUGGUAGAGAAUUAAUCCCCAGAAUAUAGAAAGAACUCUCAAAACUCAGUAAGAAAACAAAUAAGACUCCAAAAUAUUGGAUGAAAGAUGUUAAUAGCUAUCUCAUCAAGAAAGAUACAUGAAUACAUCUUUGUAUAGAUUUCUUUGAGUAUACACUCAAAAAAGAUGUUCACCAUUACUAGUCAUUAGGAAAAUGCAAAUUGGAAGCAUAAUGAGAUACUAUUACACUAGUAAUACUAGAAAGGCUAAAGUUAAAAAAACUGAUCAUACCGAGAAGGCAAGGGUGUAGAACAACUAGAAGUCUCGUACACUGCUGGUAAAAAAAAUGUAAAAUGGCAGAAUCACAUUGGAAAAUAGCUUGCAGUUUCUUAAAAGUUAUACAUAAACCUACUAUAUGUUCCAGGUUGUCUUCUUCCACAUAUUUGCCCAUGAGAAAAGGAAAUAAAGUCCACACAAAGACCUACACAUUUAUAUUCGUAGCAGUUUUAUUGGUAAUAGCCAGAAAUUGUAAAAAACCAAAAUGUCCAUUCACAAAUUAAUGGAUAAGCAAAUUGUGGGGUACUCAAACAAUGGAACACAAAUCAGCAGUUGGUUAAGAGAAAACUAGAAAAUCACAACAACUUGAUGAAGAUCCAGUGUGGUCACUUGAUCAUCAUCAUUAGCAGGAGAAGCAGCUGGUAAUUUGUUAGGAAAGCAAAUUCACAGGCCCCACUCCAAUCCACUAAGUCAGAAACUCCGAGGGUGGGAGUUCUCCAAACCACACUUUAGACUAAUUUGCUAACAGUUAUCAGUAAGGGUUCUUGAUGUCUGUCAUCUUUACUAUCAGUAACCAAAUCUGGCUAACUUAAAUUGAAGAUAAAUUAAUUGGCAAGCAUCAGGUAACUCACAGAACUGAUAAGAAAUGCUAGGAAAGAUUUUUAGGUAAGGACCUGGAACCAAGAGAGUGAAGAUAAUAGAAACAAUCUGGUUAAGAUGCUGCUGCCACCAAAACAUAUGCCACCUCUUCUAUUUGAUAUAGUGUUCACUGUAGGCAGCUGCUGCUCCUGAAAACACAGUCACGGAUUCUGGACUGCGUAUCUGUCAAAAACCCAAUACCAUCCAUCAUCCCUUCAUUUUGCCAUCACUCGGUCUUAACCAUCCUUUCCCCCAACUCCUCAUUUAUCAACUUCUACCUCCUCUAGGAAAUCUUUGUAGGCCUCCUAGUGUAGGCCAGGUCCCCCUAUUCUACAAUCAGAGUUCCCUUUAUCCCAUUAAAGCAUUUAACAUUAAGUAUAAUUAAAAUAUCUAUAGAAUGAGUUGUUUAAUGUCUGACUGACCCACUAGGCAGGAUAAAAAUCACAUAGAAAAUAGAUCUUUUAGGAAAAAACUUUUAUAUUAAAUAUUAGGUUGUUUGUUAUUUCUUCUUUUCUUUCUUUUUUUUUUGUGGAAGAAAAAACAAACCUUAUUAAUUUUUAAAAACUGAACCACUAGGAAAAUAUAUCACAGCCUUGAAACAUCAAACACAGGCUAUAUUAUAUUUCAAGUAGUAAGUUGGUAAAAAGACAAUAAGGUCUUUAUCAAAAUAAACAGGUGCUAGAGCUGGGAUAGGAACACUGCUUGCUGAAAGGCCCCAGGCAAAAGUGAUAUUUGGUAAUGAGGGAGUUGCCCCUCUUUUGCUUUAAAGGAAUCAUUGCUCACCCCUGAAUUGCCUAAUUUUUCUUCUUUGACCUUCCUGUUGCCAAGGGAUUGUCUCAGUAGGGCUCUGUUAUUUCAGGGGGCAAAAUAAGCAAUACUGAGUUUAGGCUUUCAUUCCAUUCUGUUCUAUAAAAACCAGGUUUUUCCAAAGCCAGUACUUAAUAACUCUCUUAAUUAAGAAGAAACAAUUCCUCCUUCAAUGUUCAUUCCCGCAUACCAUGCAAUCAAAACUCCCUUUCCCUUCAAGGGAGAGCGUCACCGCAAGAGACUGUCCUGUUCCUCUGCUGCAGGUAGCCUCAGGGCUCAUCAUGACAGCCGAGAGGGAAGGUCUGCUUCCCAUACCCAGUGUAACACUGCUUGUCAUGUUUUUUGCAGGGUGUCACAGCUCGAAGAUAUAAUGUGUAUUUCAAGAAAUGUAUACCCACAUCUUGAUGGCCAGAAAGAUAUCCACAAGAACUGUUCAAAGUUCUUAUCCAAACUACCUCUCCUAACUCCACAUCUUAAAUCAACUUCAAGCACUCGUAUAUAAAACAAAACCAAGCAAAACAAAGAUCCAGAAACCUUCUUUCCCUUCUAAAUUAGUGACUUUGUGGAUUUUUACAGCUUAUGAAAAACAAUUUGGUGAUCCUUCUGGUAAACAGGAGGUUGGCAACAAACAGAAACACCUCUGCUCACACCACUGGAACACAGGCAGGUUAGAGGAAUCUUCCAGCCUGUUGGUAUUUGUGUACUAAGAAGAAUCUGGUACCUUGGAGGGCUCUGGCUUGCUACAAGGGAGAUCCCUAGUGCCAGGACAAGCCCUUGAAAUUUAGGCUAUCAAAAACUCUCCUGUGCCAUCUCUGACCUAAAUUUUAGCGCCAGUUUUUUCCAUUUCACUUUCUAGGGUUGAAACAUAAAGGAACCAGUGUCCAGAAGCAAGUGACACAGGCCUCAAACUUGCUGCCAUCCUUAAUUUCUUCAUAGACACCACUUAAUAGACCAAAACUCCCGUUUCUUUUUAAAUAGAUUCCUGCUGUCAGUCUCAACGGCCAAUUGCAAAGACUUCUAUUUCCCAAUGGACAAGAGAAACACCUUCAUCCUCUUGGUCAUGGUCGGGAUGAAGUGUGUGUGGUCAUCCACACACUUGGUCACACAACUCUCCAGCUGCCACUUCACCUGAAGUUCUUUACUUCCUACAUCUAUUGAAUCUUUGGCUUUGUCAUUGCAAUGCAUGGUGCACUGGGCCAAGUGGUCCUGGAACAUCUCCAACUCACUGGUCACAGGGGCUUGGGCUUGAGCCAGUGGCACAUGGCAGCAUUCGAUGCACUGGUGCACCUGCUACAGGGACACCUGGCUGUCUUUGCAUCAGCCAGCACUGCACUGGAAUGUGACGCCCUGCAUCUUCCUAAUGUUCUCUCUUUCCAGACUUUCACCAUGAAGUCCACUGCCUCCUGCACCCACAGCUGCUGCAGCUCCGCCAUCCUGACCCCAUGCUGCACAGUGUUUGUUAUUUCUAGCAUAAAUCCCUUUGUCUCUUUGAACUCACUUAUUAAAAUUUAUUCUCUGCCAAUCUCUCUCUUCCCUCCCACCCCCACACAAACACAUAGCCUUGUACGAAUGGUUUAUUGUAUAGAAAUUGUGGAAAAUAAGGGGAAAGGCUAGAUUCCAUGUUUAGAUUAAAGCAGUACUGAAGCCUUAGGGUAAAAUGAUCACUUGACAGAACUAGUUUACCAGAAGCAAAGGUUUAGAGCUGGGACUAACUAUAAAAAUAUAAGCUCUCGUCCUCCAAAACUGGCAGAACUACUGGGUGAGGCACUGAAUUUUUCAGUCUAUGAAAGGCAGUUUCAAUUAGUUUCAUCUAGAGAUUUUAAGAGGUAGGGAGAUCCCAGCUGACAUUUGGUUGCCAUUUUAUCUGUUUACUUGACUGUCAACCCACUAGAUAGUGAACUCCUUGAGGACAAGUACUGUGUCAUUCACCUUAUGAUCUCAAACUUGGCACUCAGGGGGCACUCAAUAAUGCUUAUUGAAUUAAUGAAUAUGUAAUUCACCCUGGAGAAUUAGGGAUUUGAUUUAUUACCCCUCUUAUGAGUCUGUAAAUUUCAAAAGAGAUUCUAAUCAUUU
rnacentral:lncRNA from 1 species